rnacentral:miRNA from 1 species
CAAUUAAAUUUGAAUUCCGGAUAAAUUAGGUAUCAUUCUUUAGCAUAAGUAUGCUCCCGUGCAAAGUUUGGGACAUACUUAUACAAAACAAAAAUAUUCAUCCCGUAUCUGCAAUUUACAUUA